rnacentral:rRNA from 1 species
AACUAAGGGUAACCGGGGGUAAACCCGUAGAGUGACACGACCAGUCGCCGCGUUGUGUAGAAGGAACGUCCGGUUCGGGUUAAGUAACGACUUACUUUACGAGGUAGGGAAGGGAAGGUUAGUAGUUACGUAAUACCUGCAUUAUUUGACGUUACCUACAGAAGAAGCACCGGCUAACUCCGUGCCAGCAGCCGCGGUAAUACGGAGGGUGCGAGCGUUAAUCGGAAUUACUGGGCGUAAAGCGCAUGCAGGCGGCCUGUUAAGUCAGAUGUGAAAGCCCGGGGCUUAACCUCGGAAUUGCAUUUGAAACUGGCAGGCUAGAGUCUUGUAGAGGGGGGUAGGAAUUUCAGGUGUAGCGGUGAAAUGCGUAGAGAUCUGAAGGAAUACCAGUGGCGAAGGCGGCCCCCUGGACAAAGACUGACGCUCAGAUGCGAAAGCGUGGGGAGCAAACAGGAUUAGAUACCCUGGUAG